rnacentral:tRNA from 1 species
GCGGAUGUAGCUCAGUGGUAGAGCAUCGGGUUUCCACCCCGUGUGCGUCGGUUCGAUCCCGAUCAUCCGCU